rnacentral:snoRNA from 1 species
AUUCCAUGGUGCGGGUAGUCUGAUAUGCAUCCUUGAAAAUGCUCCCAUGCUUCUGGAAUAGGUUCACCUUUCUGCUGAUGAAAUUCUGAAAUCUUCCCUCAUAAGAUA